rnacentral:rRNA from 1 species
GAUGAACGCUGGCGGCGUGCCUAAUACAUGCAAGUCGAACGAACUCUGGUAUUGAUUGGUGCUUGCAUCAUGAUUUACACUUGAGUGAGUGGCGAACUGGUGAGUAACACGUGGGAAACCUGCCCAGAAGCGGGGGAUAACACCUGGAAACAGAUGCUAAUACCGCAUAACAACUUGGACCGCAUGGCCCGAGUUUGAAAGAUGGCUCCGGCUAUCACUUUUGGAUGGUCCCGCGGCGUAUUAGCUAGAUGGUGGGGUAACGGCUCACCAUGGCAAUGAUACGUAGCCGACCUGAGAGGGUAAUCGGCCACAUUGGGACUGAGACACGGCCCAAACUCCUACGGGAGGCAGCAGUAGGGAAUCUUCCACAAUGGACGAAAGUCUGAUGGAGCAACGCCGCGUGAGUGAAGAAGGGUUUCGGCUCGUAAAACUCUGUUGUUAAAGAAGAACAUAUCUGAGAGUAACUGUUCAGGUAUUGACGGUAUUUAACCAGAAAGCCACGGCUAACUACGUGCCAGCAGCCGCGGUAAUACGUAGGUGGCAAGCGUUGUCCGGAUUUAUUGGGCGUAAAGCGAGCGCAGGCGGUUUUUUAAGUCUGAUGUGAAAGCCUUCGGCUCAACCGAAGAAGUGCAUCGGAAACUGGGAAACUUGAGUGCAGAAGAGGACAGUGGAACUCCAUGUGUAGCGGUGAAAUGCGUAGAUAUAUGGAAGAACACCAGUGGCGAAAGCGGCUGUCUGGUCCUGUAACUGACGCUGAGGCUCGAAAGUAUGGGUAGCAAACAGGAUUAGAUACCCUGGUAGUCCAUACCGUAAACGAUGAAUGCUAAGUGUUGGAGGGUUCCCGCCCUUCAGUGCUGCAGCUAAACCAUUAAGCAUUCCGCCUGGGGAGUACGGCCGCAAGGCUGAAACUCAAAGGAAUUGACGGGGGCCCGCACAAGCGGUGGAGCAUGUGGUUUAAUUCGAAGCUACGCGAAGAACCUUACCAGGUCUUGACAUACUAUGCAAAUCUAAGAGAUUAGACGUUCCCUUCGGGGACAUGGAUACAGGUGGUGCAUGGUUGUCGUCAGCUCGUGUCGUGAGAUGUUGGGUUAAGUCCCGCAACGAGCGCAACCCUUAUUAUCAGUUGCCAGCAUUAAGUUGGGCACUCUGGUGAGACUGCCGGUGACAAACCGGAGGAAGGUGGGGAUGACGUCAAAUCAUCAUGCCCCUUAUGACCUGGGCUACACACGUGCUACAAUGGAUGGUACAACGAGUUGCGAACUCGCGAGAGUAAGCUAAUCUCUUAAAGCCAUUCUCAGUUCGGAUUGUGGGUUGCAACUCGCCUACAUGAAGUCGGAAUCGCUAGUAAUCGCGGAUCAGCAUGCCGCGGUGAAUACGUUCCCGGGCCUUGUACACACCGCCCGUCACACCAUGAGAGUUUGUAACACCCAAAGUCGGUGGGGUAACCUUUUAGGAACCAGCCGCCUAAGGUGGGACAGAUGAUUAGGGUGAAGUCGUAACAAGGUAGCCGUAGGAGAACC